rnacentral:rRNA from 1 species
GAUGAACGCUGGCGGCGUGCCUAAUACAUGCAAGUCGAGCGAACAGACGAGGAGCUUGCUCCUCUGACGUUAGCGGCGGACGGGUGAGUAACACGUGGAUAACCUACCUAUAAGACUGGGAUAACUUCGGGAAACCGGAGCUAGUACCGGAUAAUAUAUUGAACCGCAUGGUUCAAUAGUGAAAGACGGUUUUGCUGUCACUUAUAGAUGGAUCCGCGCCGCAUUAGCUAGUUGGUAAGGUAACGGCUUACCAAGGCAACGAUGCGUAGCCGACCUGAGAGGGGGAUCACCCCCCCGGGAAUGAGGACCCGUCCCAAAACCCGAGGGGUGGAAGCGGUGGGGAUUCUUCCGGAAGGGGCAAAAGCCUGACGGGGAAACCCGGCGGUAGGGAUGAAGGUCUUCGGAUCGUAAACCCCUUUUAUUAGGGAAGAAAAAAUGUGUAAUAAACGGUGACCGUUUGGCAGGAACCGAAUCAGAAAGCCCCGGCAAACUGGGG